UGAGUGCGCAUGCGCCGGGCUGGCGCGCGGCCCUCGGGAGGGAGUUGGACCCGCGGCGCGAUGUGCAGCUCCGGCAAGCGGUGGGAGAGCGGGGUCCCCGGCCCUCCGGCCGGUGCUGGACCAAAAACGCCCCCUCCCCGGACUGGGCCUGCCUCCCCGGUGCUCCAGAAUGCCGAAGAGGCAAGGGAGGAGUGGGUAGUGGGCGAGGAGUGCUGCGGGCUUCCCCUGAAACUCAGUGUCACAGCCUAGGAUUUCAGACCGGUUUGGGGAGCAGCGACUCGAAGGUCCGGGCCGAGACCUGAUCGCCCGGGAACCCUGCCUGUGCCUCCCAAGCCUGGGGUGGGCGCAGGGGCCGCCUAUCCGCGGUGCCAGUAUACGAGAAUAGGCUGAGGUUUCAUUUGGAGACUUUGUAAGACCGGACCUGGACUGGGGCCUGUGGCGGAGGGGCUGUGUGGCGGAGGGACCGCAAGGGCGCCCCCGCCUCCGCGCCCGGGCUCGGAGGAAUCAGGGACACCCGCGGGGACACGCCGGAGCUUGCCCGCCCGCCUGGGGCUGCGGGAUGCAGCCCACCUCAGUGCCAGCCCCGCCCAGCUCGCCUGGCCCAGGGCGCGGAGGGGCGGACCCUGGUUUGGAGGGAGGGAAAUUUGGAGACAGACUGGCAUUACAGAGAGAACACCAUGUGAAUGUGAAGACGGCCAAGAGAAAGACCUGGAAUGGAUUCUCUCAUAGUCCUGAGACUGCGGAACCAACUCUGCCACUGCCAACACCUUGAUCUUGGACUUCUCGCUUCCAGUACUGUGAGACAAUAAACAGCUGUUAAGU